UGGGGAAUAUUGCACAAUGGAGGGAACUCUGAUGCAGCGACGCCGCGUGAACGAAGAAGGCUUUCGAGUCGUAAAGUUCUUUUAUAUGGGAAGAUAAUGACGGUACCAUAAGAAAAAGCCCCGGCUAACUACGUGCCAGCAGCCGCGGUAAUACGUAGGGGGCUAGCGUUGUCCGGAAUCACUGGGCGUAAAGGGUUCGCAGGCGGAAAUGCAAGUCAGGUGUAAAAGGCAGUAGCUUAACUACUGUAAGCAUUUGAAAAUGCAUAUCUUGAGAAGAGUAGAGGUAAGUGGAAUUUUUAGUACAGCGGUGAAAUGCGUAGAUAGUAAAAAGAAUACCGGUGACGAGGGCGACUUACUGAGCUCAUUCUGACGCUGAGGAACGAAAGAGGGGGUAGCAAACAGG
rnacentral:rRNA from 1 species